UGUAAAUGCCCUCCUUGGGUGUUUCCUCCCUAGACUUGGACCGCCGCGAGGCGGUCUUUUUUUGGCAAUCC
rnacentral:sRNA from 4 species